rnacentral:rRNA from 1 species
GAUGAACGCUAGUGGCAGGCUUAAUACAUGCAAGUCGAGGGGCAGCGCAGUGUAGCAAUACAUGGGCGGCGACCGGCAAACGGGUGCGGAACACGUACGCAAUCUACCCAAAACUGGUGAAUAGCCCUCCGAAAGGAGGAUUAAUACACCGUAACCUGAUGAAGUGGCAUCACUUUAUCAGUAUAGCUCCGGCGGUUUUGGAUGAGCGUGCGCCUGAUUAGGUAGUUGGCGGGGUAACGGCCCACCAAGCCUGCGAUCAGUAACUGGUGUGAGAGCACGACCAGUCACACGGGCACUGAGACACGGGCCCGACUCCUACGGGAGGCAGCAGUAAGGAAUAUUGGUCAAUGGACGCAAGUCUGAACCAGCCAUGCCGCGUGAAGGAUGAAGGUCCUCUGGAUUGUAAACUUCUUUUAUCUGGGACGAAACCCGGGCAUUCUUGCCCGAUUGACGGUACCAGAGGAAUAAGCACCGGCUAACUCCGUGCCAGCAGCCGCAGUAACAC